GAGGAGAAAAAUCCAACCCCAUUUCUAGCCUUCCCAAAAAUAAUUCCUUGGUGUUAACCCACUAUUUGGAGGUCCCUAAGUAGCGUGGAAGCAUUAUUGGAGCGAUCAAACCAUCCAUUUUUGUAAAUCGCAAACCCUAACUUUCUUGUGGAGUAAAGAACAAAGACCUUGGGGAGCCCGAGGCGUAGAUUGGGAUUUACUUUAGAUUGGCUAUCUUGGAGUGCGUACGAGGUACAGACGCACAGUUUGGUGAUCUACCCAUUUAGGACACCCUCUUCUGCUGUUUGGAGUGCUCUUCUCAUUUCAGAGCACACAUUUUGGUAUAUAUUCGUUCGCUAUGUAUAUAUCUAUUUGUUCAGGGGCACGGCGGGGCCCUGUCCCGCCAUAUGAUUCGGUUUGUCUGUUUAGAGGUCUGUAGACGUAUUUGUGGGUGUGUGUGCCUACUUCUGUACAGAUGUGUUUGUAUGACCCAAUUCGUUAUGGCAACCUUGUCGGCGUGCACUUUGUAUAUGUUUUGGGUCGUUGCGCCAUCUGUUAGCCUUGUCGGCUUUUGAUACAUCUGUUAGCCUUGUCGGCUUUUGAUACAUUUGAUAGCCUUGUCGGCUUUUGAUACAUUUGAUAGCCUUGCCGG